UACGUAGGGUGCGAGCGUUAAUCGGAAUUACUGGGCGUAAAGCGUGCGCAGGCGGUGAUGUAAGACAGAUGUGAAAUCCCCGGGCUCAACCUGGGAACUGCAUUUGUGACUGCAUCGCUGGAGUGCGGCAGAGGGGGAUGGAAUUCCGCGUGUAGCAGUGAAAUGCGUAGAUAUGCGGAGGAACACCGAUGGCGAAGGCAAUCCCCUGGGCCUGCACUGGACGCUCAUGCACGAAAGCGUGGGGAGCAAACAGGA
rnacentral:rRNA from 1 species